rfam:Daphnia pulex DAPPTscaffold_16_Cont1060, whole genome shotgun sequence.
UGACAACGUUCCUCCGUCACGAUCAAGAUUGUGUCAUGACGGAUUUUUAGAUUGUCAAAGAACAAAAUUUCUCUUAUUCACCCGGCUGGGAUCGGUUCACUGAUAUACAGCCGGUUUUGCAGGAGAAAACAAUU